GAAAUGCGAUAAGUAAUGUGAAUUGCAGAAUUCAGUGAAUCAUCGAAUCUUUGAACGCACCUUGCGCUCCUUGGUAUUCCUUGGAGCAUGCCUGUUUGAGUAUCAUGAAAUCUUCAAAGUAAAUCUUUUGUUAACUCAAUUGGUUUCUACUUUGGUAUUGGAGGUCUUUGCAGCUUCACACCUGCUCCUCUUUGUUCAUUAGCUGGAUCUCAGUGUUAUGCUUGGUUCCACUCGGCGUGAUAAGUUAUCUAUCGCUGAGGACACUGUAAAAGGUGGCCAAGGUAAAUGCAGAUUACCCGCUUCUAAUAGUCCAUUGACUUGGACAAUACUUUUAUGAUCUGAUCUCAAAUCAGGUAGGACUACCCGCUGAACUUAAGC
rnacentral:misc_RNA from 1 species